rnacentral:misc_RNA from 1 species
CAGAGUUGCAUAACUCCCUAACCAUUGUGAACGUUACCUGAAACCGUUGCUUCGGCGGGCGGCCCGGGUUCUCCCGGGCGCCCUGGCCCAUCCGGCCCCGGAGGAAUCCCAAACUCUUGAUAUUUAUGGCCUCUCUGAGUCUGCUUACUGAAAUAAGUCA